rnacentral:snRNA from 1 species
GUGCUAGCUUCGGCAGCACAUAUACUAAAAUUGGAACGAUACAGAGAAGAUUAUCAUGGCCCCUGCACAAGGAUGACACGCAAAUUCGUGAAGCAUUCCUUAUUUUU